GGUGUUCCUUUCUGCAGCCGCCAUAGCCGCGUCCCUGGUCGUUCCCCGGGAAGGCCCAGGUGGCUGAGCCAGCGCUGCCCUGUGAGCUCCCUCCCCGCAGGAGCCUCUGGAGGACACCCGACUGGUCAGCAGGCGGGAAGGAAUGUGAGAAACAUCAGAAAUCUGGUUCACUGAUUUACUUCUCAGAUUCCCGCACCUGCAAAGUAUGGAACAGGACUAAAGCUGGGAGUUGAGAACUCAAGGCAGGUUUUUCUGUGAGUAGCAGAACUCCAGUGCCUUAAGCCAUCACCUCUGCGUCCCAAGGUCGGCCGUGUCACAGAAACUGGAAUCAAGAUCAGAACUAGGAGUGGAACCCAGGCACUGCAAUGUAAGAUAGACGUUCCUUACCUACUAGCCUAAACGUUUACUCAGCAUGGUUUUUUUUGGGUUUUGAUUUUUUUUUUGUUUCAUUGGUCUUAGGUUUUUUUGGUUUUUGGGUUUUUUUUUUGGUUGCUGUUGUUAACUAAGAUGAAUUAAUUCGAUUUUGAAUACCUUAAGUGUAAUUUUGCAGGGAUAUUAAAAUGAAUAAAACAGCAUAAGUAGGGUAUGGGAGCGGUAGAAUGAAUGCAUCUUAUUUCAGUACAUCUCACUGAAGUCCUGGCUACUCUGCCCCUUCAAACCAGCUUCCUCCUAAUGCAUCUGAGCAGCGUCUGGUGGUGGCAAAAGUGCUUGCAUAUCUCCCACCCACAUGUGAGAUGCAAGAAGGGAACCUGGAGUCUGUGUGACACAGCCACAGCCGGGAAAGGCAUUCAGAAUUAAACCAGUGAA